rnacentral:snRNA from 1 species
UUUUUUACCUGGCAGGAGAGAGGUCAUGAUCGCUGACCUAGGAGUGAGGCUUAUUCCUUGCUCUCCAGAUGUGCUAACCCUGUGAUUUCUCCAGCUCUGUGAAGCUCAACUACAUAUUCUGUGGUCAUGGGAAACAACGGUCACCCUCCCCU